rnacentral:rRNA from 1 species
AGCAGCCGCGGUAAUUCCAGCUCCAAUAGCGUAUAUUAAAGUUGUUGCAGUUAAAAAGCUCGUAGUUGAAUUUCGGGGUUAGUAGGUUGGUCAUGCCUCUGGUAUGUACUGGUCUCACUGAUUCCUCCUUCCUGAUGAGCCGUAAUGCCAUUAAUUUGGUGUUGCGGGGAAUUUGGACUGUUACUUUGAAAAAUUAGAGUGUUUAAAGCAAGCUAACGCUUGAAUACAUUAGCAUGGAAUAAUGAAAUAGGACGUUCGAUCCUAUUUUGUUGGUUUCUAGGAUUGACGUAAUGAUUAAUAGGGAUAGUUGGGGGCAUUAGUAUUCAAUUGUCAGAGGUGAAAUUCUUGGAUUUAUUGAAGACUAACUACUGCGAAAGCAUUUGCCAAGGAUGUUUUCAUUAAUCAAGAACGAAAGUUAGGGGAUCGAAGACGAUCAGAUACCGUCGUAGUCUUAACCAUAAACUAUGCCGACUAGGGAUCGGAUGAUGUUAAUUUUUAAUGACUCAUUCGGCGUCCG